AUUGAACGCUGGCGGCAGGCCUAACACAUGCAAGUCGAGCGGAUGAAGGGAGCUUGCUCCUGGAUUCAGCGGCGGACGGGUGAGUAAUGCCUAGGAAUCUGCCUGGUAGUGGGGGAUAACGUCCGGAAACGGGCGCUAAUACCGCAUACGUCCUGAGGGAGAAAGGGGGGGAUCUUCGGACCUCACGCUAUCAGAUGAGCCUAGGUCGGAUUAGCUAGUUGGUGGGGUAAAGGCCUACCAAGGCGACGAUCCGUAGCUGGUCUGAGAGGAUGAUCAGUCACACUGGAACUGAGACACGGUCCAGACUCCUACGGGAGGCAGCAGUGGGGAAUAUUGGACAAUGGGCGAAAGCCUGAUCCAGCCAUGCCGCGUGUGUGAAGAAGGUCUUCGGAUUGUAAAGCACUUUAAGUUGGGAGGAAGGGCAGUAAGUUAAUACCUUGCUGUUUUGACGUUACCAACAGAAUAAGCACCGGCUAACUUCGUG
rnacentral:rRNA from 1 species